UACAGAGGGUGCGAGCGUUGUUCGGAAUUACUGGGCGUAAAGCGCACGUAGGCGGAUUUGUAAGUUAGGGGUGAAAUCCCGGGGCUCAACCUCGGAACUGCCUUUGAUACUGCAAAUCUCGAGUCCGGAAGAGGUGAGUGGAAUUCCUAGUGUAGAGGUGAAAUUCGUAGAUAUUAGGAAGAACACCAGUGGCGAAGGCGGCUCACUGGUCCGGUACUGACGCUGAGGUGCGAAAGCGUGGGGAGCAAACAGG
rnacentral:rRNA from 1 species